GAACUUGAUUUGUUCAAAGAAAAGGCUUUUGUAUUCAAGGUCCAAGUCAAGACAGAAUUCUUCAAUUACACGGAGCAGACAAACAUACAAGUAAAUCGGCUGGUUACAGAUGAUGCACUCAUAAAGUCCUUUUUGGAUAAAUACAAGAUAGAAGAGUGCCCUUCCCAAAGUGGUUCUUAUGAAAUAUUGGAUGAUGAUCAUGAAACAAAUGACACAACCAAGAUUAGCAAUGCACCCAAACAAAGUGAAGAAGACUCAUCAUUUGUUAGAACUCCACCCUCAAC